AUCGGCAUAUGUGAUAUGAAAAAGUAUAUUUUAUUAUGAGCAUUGAUUUCAUGAAUAUGUCUUAUAAAAAUGGCAUGAUUAUGAAUUUCAUUAUUUUUCUAUUUAUGUAUAUGUAUGUUUUAAGAAAAAGAUAAAAAUGAUUUCAAAGGCUCUCAGAUAGCUAUGAAUGAAUCCCUUCGGGAAGGUCGACAUCCGGAGCUAGCAUCCACACGAAACAUGGCCCUGCCAGCGGGUAUAAAGUUGGCACAUGAAUUAAGAACUCUGUCGAUUAAGAAACAUGGCCCU
rnacentral:lncRNA from 1 species